AUGGAGGUCAUGGACGAGGGGAGCAUCGCGCGGCUGCUGCUACUCUUGCCUGUCCUCCUCGCCGUCUACCUCCGGCGGCGGCCUGUCGCACCGGCCGCGGCGAGCGCGAACCACUGCCUGCACCCGAACCGUGUCUUCGGCAACACCGUCCCGCUCCUCUGCGACCUGCACCGCUUCCUCGACUGGGCCACGGACCAGCUGGUGGAGUCCCCGUCCUCCACCAUCAAGGUCUGCGGCCCGCUCGGACUCGGCGGCGGCGUCGCCACCGCCACCCCGGAGGCCAUCGACCACCUCCUGUGCGCCAACUUCCCCAACUACGUCAAAGGCGCGCGCUUCACGGUCCCUUUCGCUGACCUGCUCGGCCGCAACAUCUUCCUUGCUGACGGCCGCCUUUGGAGCCUCCAGCGCAAGCUCGCCUCCGACUCCUUCUCGUCCCGCUCGCUGCGCCGCUUCUCCGGGUGGGUGCUCUGGGAGCACCUUCACUGCCGCCUCCUCCCGCUCCUUGACGCCGCCGCGGGCUCCGGCGUCGCCCUUGACCUGCAGGACAUGCUCCGGCGCUUCUCCUUCGACAACGUCUGCGGCGUGGCCUUCGGCGUUGAGAGCUCCACUCUGCUCGAGCUCGAGGCCGGGGAUCGCCGCAGCCGGGGAUCUUCGCGGCGUUCGACGACGCCGUCAAGAUCUCCUUCACGCGAAUACUCCACCCGACGACCCUGGUGUGGAGGGCGAUGA
rnacentral:rRNA from 1 species